UACGAAGGGGGCUAGCGUUGCUCGGAAUCACUGGGCGUAAAGGGUGCGUAGGCGGGUCUUUUAAGUCAGGGGUGAAAUCCUGGAGCUCAACUCCAGAACUGCCUUUGAUACUGAAGAUCUUGAGUUCGGGAGAGGUGAGUGGAACUGCGAGUGUAGAGGUGAAAUUCGUAGAUAUUCGCAAGAACACCAGUGGCGAAGGCGGCUCACUGGCCCGAGUACUGACGCUGAGGCACGAAAGCGUGGGGA
rnacentral:rRNA from 1 species